UACAGAGGGUGCAAGCGUUAAUCGGAUUUACUGGGCGUAAAGCGCACGUAGGCGGCUUGGUAUGUCGGGUGUGAAAUCCCCGGGCUCAACCUGGGAACUGCAUCCGAAACUGCCUUGCUCGAGUAUGGGAGAGGGAAGUGGAAUUUCCGGUGUAGCGGUGAAAUGCGUAGAUAUCGGAAGGAACAUCAGUGGCGAAGGCGACUUCCUGGACCAAUACUGACGCUCAGGUGCGAAAGCGUGGGGAGCAAACAGG
rnacentral:rRNA from 1 species